UACGUAGGGUGCAAGCGUUAAUCGGAAUUACUGGGCGUAAAGCGUGCGCAGGCGGUUGUGUAAGACAGGUGUGAAAUCCCCGGGCUUAACCUGGGAAUUGCAUUUGUGACUGCACGACUAGAGUGUGUCAGAGGGGGGUGGAAUUCCACGUGUAGCAGUGAAAUGCGUAGAUAUGUGGAGGAACACCAAUGGCGAAGGCAGCCCCCUGGGAUAACACUGACGCUCAUGCACGAAAGCGUGGGGAGCAAACAGGAUUAGAUACCCGCGUAGUCC
rnacentral:rRNA from 1 species